GCAACCAUCUCCGACCUCAGAUCGGACGAGAUUACCCGCUGAAUUUAAGCAUAUAACUAAGCGGAGGAAAAGAAACUAACAAGGAUUUCCCCAGUAACGGCGAGUGAAGCGGAAAUAGCCCAGCACCGAAUCCCUCAGUGUCACGCUGACGGGAACUGUGGUGUGUGGGACGCCACCAGUCGCAUCAGUGGGCACCGAAGUCCUCCUGAUCGAGGCUUCACCCAGAGCGGGUGUAAGGCCUUUGCAGGUGCCCUACUGUGCGGCCGCGAGCGUCUCAGGAGUCGGGUUGUUUGGGAAUGCAGCCCAAAGCGGGUGGUAAACUCCAUCUAA
rnacentral:rRNA from 1 species